AAUGAGGAAGCUCUCUGUGUACUGAUGGGGACAGAAGUUCCAGGACAUUUUGUAAGGUGGCUGAAAAACAAGACAGAUGCUUCCAGAAUCAAUCACCGAAUGGUGGAUCUACAGCCAACCACCCAUUCUCUUCAGUCACUGAGAUGAUAUGAUGCUGCUGGUCCAAGGACUACAUUUCGAGAACCCCAACCACGCAUGGAUUGUUGUCAACUAUGAAUCACAAGAUUUCCAGGGUUUUGUCUGCUGCCUUCCCUGCAAGCCCUGCCAUCCACUGAGACCCAACCUCAGCCAUUCUUGGCACAUCAGCCCAUGAGAAGUCUGCCACUCUUUCUUCCUAAGCAAAGCAGCAUCCUUCAGGGCCUGGAGCUCCUGGACACAAAAGCCAUUUUUGGGAGAAAAAUGUGGAUAAAGUCACUCCUGGGCCACCUGUCUGUGAGGCUGUAUGGAAGCUGCCUACUGGUUUGAGGAGAGGCUGCUGGGUUCUUUCCUUUACUAAGGAUUUGCUUAAGUCAGCCUUCCAGGAUCCAAAAAAGAGCCAGAAAAGAGCCAGCAAAACAGCUGAGGCACAGACUAGAUGGUUAGUCCAAGGACCAAGACCUGGCCAGCCAGAGGGACCAGGUGUCCAGACCCCGGACUGUUUUCAAUACAGUUAUACAAUGAAAUCAAAUAAAUGGAUGUAUUGAUUGCUUGGCAA
rnacentral:lncRNA from 1 species